GGCGCCGUGGCCAAGUGGUAAGGCGGGAGACUGCAAAUCUCCUAUUCGUCGGUUCGAUUCCGACCGGCGCCU
rnacentral:tRNA from 2 species